UAGUGAUUAACGCGAAGAACCUUACCUGGGUUAGAAUGCCUCUGACAGCUCCAGAGAUGGAGUCUCUUGGGUAAAACCAAGCAGAGUGCAAGGUGCUGCAUGGCUGUCGUCAGCUCGUGUCGUGAGAUGUUGGGUUAAGUCCCGCAACGAGCGCAACCCUUGUCAGUAGUUGCCAGCAGGUUAAGCUGGGCACUCUACUGAAACUGCCGUUGAUAAAACGGAGGAAGGUGGGGAUGACGUCAAGUCCUCAUGGCCUUUAUAUCCAGGGCUACACACGUGCUACAAUGGCAGGUACAAAACGCUGCAAACUCGCAAGAGGGAGCCAAUCGUCAAAAGCCUGUCUCAGUUCGGAUCGGAGUCUGCAACUCGACUCCGUGAAGUUGGAAUCGCUAGUAAUCGCAGAUCAGCACGCUGCGGUGAAUACGUUCCCGGGCCUUGUCACACCCGAAUCGAAUUCC
rnacentral:rRNA from 1 species